rnacentral:rRNA from 2 species
UAUACCGUGAAACUGCGAAUGGCUCAUUAAAUCAGUUAUCGUUUAUUUGAUAGUACCUUACUACUUGGAUAACCGUGGUAAUUCUAGAGCUAAUACAUGCUGAAAACCCCAACUUCGGGAGGGGUGUAUUUAUUAGAUAAAAAACCAACGCCCUUCGGGGCUUCUUGGUGAUUCAUGAUAACUUUACGGAUCGCAUGGCCUUGCGCUGGCGACGGUUCAUUCAAAUUUCUGCCCUAUCAACUUUCGAUGGUAAGGUAUUGGCUUACCAUGGUUUCAACGGGUAACGGGGAAUUAGGGUUCGAUUCCGGAGAGGGAGCCUGAGAAACGGCUACCACAUCCAAGGAAGGCAGCAGGCGCGCAAAUUACCCAAUCCCGACACGGGGAGGUAGUGACAAUAAAUACUGAUACAGGGCUCUUUUGGGUCUUGUAAUUGGAAUGAGUACAAUUUAAACCUCUUAACGAGGAACAAUUGGAGGGCAAGUCUGGUGCCAGCAGCCGCGGUAAUUCCAGCUCCAAUAGCGUAUAUUAAAGUUGUUGCAGUUAAAAAGCUCGUAGUUGAAACUUGGGUCUGGCUGGCGGGUCCGCCUCACCGCGUGUACUUGUCCGGCCGGGCCUUCCUUCUGGAGAACCUCAUGCCCUUUACUGGGCGUGUUGGGGACCAGGACUUUUACUUUGAAAAAAUUAGAGUGUUCAAAGCAGGCCUUUGCUCGAAUACGUUAGCAUGGAAUAAUAGAAUAGGACGUGCGGUCCUAUUUUGUUGGUUUCUAGGACCGCCGUAAUGAUUAAUAGGGACAGUCGGGGGCAUCAGUAUUCAAUUGUCAGAGGUGAAAUUCUUGGAUUUAUUGAAGACUAACUACUGCGAAAGCAUUUGCCAAGGAUGUUUUCAUUAAUCAGUGAACGAAAGUUAGGGGAUCGAAGACGAUCAGAUACCGUCGUAGUCUUAACCGUAAACUAUGCCGACUAGGGAUCGGGCGAUGUUCUUUUUCUGACUCGCUCGGCACCUUACGAGAAAUCAAAGUU